AGUCACCACUGGGGGUGCCUCCACUUUGGCUGAGAUGCAAUUAAGCAAACCCUUUGAACCUGAUCUAGUCUGUACUAGCGGAGGGAAGUGGGUAGUUUUCAUA
rnacentral:ncRNA from 2 species